CGGGUGAGUAAUGUCUGGGAAACUGCCUGAUGGAGGGGGAUAACUGCUGGAAACGGUAGCUGAUACCGCGUAACGUCGCAAGACCAAAGAGGGGGACCUUCGGGCCUCUUGCCAUCGGAUGUGCCCAGAUGGGAUUAGCUAGUAGGUGGGGUAACGGCUCACCUAGGCGACGAUCCCUAGCUGGUCUGAGAGGAUGGCCAGCCACACUGGAACUGAGACACGGUCCAG
rnacentral:rRNA from 1 species